rnacentral:tRNA from 1 species
GCGCCCAUAGCUCAGCUGGAUAGAGCAACGGCCUUCUAAGCCGCAGGUCGGGGGUUCGAAUCCUCCUGGGCGCG